GAUGAACGCUGGCGGCGUGCCUAAUACAUGCAAGUCGAGCGAACAGACGAGAAGCUUGCUCCUCUGACGUUAGCGGGGGACGGGUGGGUAACACGUGGAUAACCUACCUAUAAUACUGGGGGAACUUCGGGAAACCGGAUCUAAUACCGGAUAAUAUAUUCAACGGCAUGGAUCAAGAGUGAAAGACGGUUUUGCUGUCACAUAUAGAUGGAUCCGCGCCGCAUUAGCUAGUUGGUAAGGUAACGGCUUACCAAGGCAACGAUGCGUAGCCGACCUGAGAGGGUGAUCGGCCACACUGGAACUGAGACACGGUCCAGACUCCUACGGGAGGCAGCAGUAGGGAAUCUUGCGCAAUGGGCGAAAGCCUGACGGAGCAACGCCGCGUGAGUGAUGAAGGUCUUCGGAUUGUAAAACUCUGUUAUUAGGGAAGAAAAACUGCGUAAGUAACUAUGCACGUCUUGACGGUACCUAAUCAGAAAGCCACGGCUAACUACGUG
rnacentral:rRNA from 1 species